ACACGGAAUUAGAAAUUCUCAUUUGCUGACUGUUGCACCAACGGGUAAAGCAUUUGCCCCCAGUGUUCGUAAGAAUGCUGCGUAAACUUAGCUAUAUGCGGGAAACUCUGGCGUAUCUCUUACUACCUUGUCUUGCCAACAAUGAAUGGGUAAAAAUGUAAGAGUGUUGGCAUAAGCCUACCAGACAAUCCGCAGGGAAGUCGUGGCUGACCCCUCAACGACUACACGCUAAGCAACCAUAUUACUAGAUUUUCGGUGAAUAUCUUUGUCAUAGUAAAAAGGGAUUCAUCAAUGGUUGAAGAUAUAGUCUGACCCAUAUGGCGACAUAUGG
rnacentral:ncRNA from 1 species